ACGGGGUGCAGCAGGCGCGAAAACUCCACAAUGUACGGAAGUACGAUGGGGUUAUCUCGAGUGCAGUCCGAUAAGGGCUGCUUUUCCAUAGAGUAAUAUCCUGUGGGAAUAAGAGGGGGGCAAGACUGGUGUCAGCCGCCGCGGUAACACCAGCCCCUCGAGUGGUGGGGACUAUUAUUUGGCCUAAAGCGUCCGUAGCUGGCUGUAUCCGUCUCCCGGUAAAUCCGGCGUCCUAAGCGUCGGUUCUCGGGUGAUACCAUACAGCUAGAGGGUGGGAUAGGUGAGCGGUAUUUCUGGGGUAGGGGCGAAAUCCUUUGAUCCCAGGAGGACCACCAGUGGCGAAGGUUGCUCACUAGGACACGCCUGACGGUCAGGGACGAAAGCUGGGGCAGCGAACCGGAUUAGAUACCCGGGUAGUCCCAGCUGUAAACGAUGCUAGCUAGGUGUUGGGUCGGCCACGCGCCGCCCCAGUGCCGCAGGGAAGCCGUUAAGCUAGCCGCCUGGGGAGUACGGCCGCAAGGCUGAAACUUAAAGGAAUUGGCGGGGGAGCAC
rnacentral:rRNA from 1 species